AUGGCUAUCCACACCGUGCUUCAGAUGCUCCUGCUGCUUUCUUGCAUCACCACCACCACCACUACCACCACGGCUACGGCUCCAUUAGCAGCGCCAGCAUCCGAUUCUGGAGCUCCAAUACACCAAAAGAGCAUCAGGAAAUUCCCAUCUGCCAAUUGUCCAAACAAAUGCGGCGAUAAGGAUAUCAUGUUUCCCUUUGGCAUAGGCCCCGGCUGCUCUCGGCAGACCAGCUUUGAUCUCAUCUGCGACAACACCACGUACCCUCCGAGGCUCUAUCUCAGGGACCGCGCCAUGGACGUGAUUUUCAUGGGCGACACCCGCGCUCCACUGGUUUCCAUUGGCGGUGUAUUAAUCGACUUCUCAAUUGCCAUCUCAACGAGUCAGGGUGCUGAAGUGUACAAUGCAUCACUAAAGACCCCCUCCAGCAAUUUCGUUUUCGCUCUCUCUAACAUGUGGAUCACCGUGUGCAAUUUCUACAUCUACUUGAUUGGAAACUCAAACAUAAGUCCGGAAAUCCCGUUUUGCACUUCCUGUGACCCGGACGAGUUAGACCCCGAUAUGGUUUACGGGAAGAAAUGCAACCACAGACCAACCUUCGAAGCCCAUAUGGUUGCCAAUCCCGUGCAGCUCAAGUUUGUCCCUGUCAAGGAGGCCCACCAGCAGGUGCAGCGCCAAAUUGCGAGUGUGGUAGCUACGCUAUAUUGGAAUAUAAAUGACCAACAUACAUGUGCCGCCGCUUCGGCAGAUGAGACCAUUUUUGCCUGCGUGAGCAGCCACAGCUCGUGCGUAGACACCCCGUACAUGCCUGGUUAUUCAUGCUGUUGUGAUGUUGGGUACACGGGCAACCCGUAUGUACUCGGUGGCUGCUCGAGUGAUCACGGAUACAAUCCGUCAGCUCGAAGAAAUGUGACAUGCACUCGGUCUUGUGGUAAAAUCAAGGUUCCCUUUCCGUUUGGACUAGAAGAUGGCUGUUCCGCAAGGACCGGAUUUCAACUCUACUGCAACACAUCAGCUUUCAUGCUGCUAGAUUCAAUGACAGGAUAUAUCACAAACAUUAAUAUUACUGAGGGGUACAUGGACAUCGAAGGUACCUCUCAUGAUCAGUCAAACUAUGGACCAUUGUACAUUGCUGACAGAGACUCAAGGAGACUGCGAUGGGUAGUCGCAAAUCUAACUUGCCAAGAGGCACAUCAACAUAUCUCCACAUAUGCAUGUGUUAGCCCUAAUAGCGAAUGUUUAUAUGUCAACUCGACAACAAUGGGUUAUAGCUGUAAAUGCAAUGAUGGCUAUGCAGGAAAUCCCUAUGUUACUGGACCCGAUGGUUGUAAAUGCAAUGAUGACACUAUAAAAAUGAAGUGUGCUCCAUCGAGAAAGCAGACUAUUCUAUCAGGUAUUGCUAUUGGGCUUGGUAUUGGCUUGGGCCUUCUACUUCUUGGCUUAAGUGCAAUGUUUAUCCUCCGUAGAUGCAGAAGAGGCGUCCAAAAGAGACUGAGAAUGAAGUAUUUUACAAAGAACCACGGCCUCCUUCUAGAACAGCUAAUAUCAUCGAGUGAAGAUGCAAGUGAAAAGACAAAGAUUUUCUCUCUGGAAGAGUUAGAGCGGGCAACAAAUAACUUCGAUCACACACGGAUCCUUGGCCGAGGAGGCCAUGGCAUGGUGUACAAAGGCAUCUUAUCUGACCAGCGUGUAGUGGCUAUUAAGAAAUCUAAUGUCAUUGAGCAAGGUGAGAUUGACCAAUUCAUCAAUGAGGUCGCCAUCCUUUCACAGAUCAACCACAGAAACAUCGUAAAGCUUCAUGGCUGUUGCCUUGAAAGUGAGGUCCCACUACUAGUGUAUGAUUUUGUUCCUAAUGGUUCUUUGUUUGAAAUCCUUUAUUCUGAUCCAAGCAACAAUUUUUCUUUGUCCUGGGAUGUCUGCCUAAGAAUUGCUGCACAAGCUUCAGGAGCUCUCUAUUAUCUCCAUUCUGCAGCUUCCAUAUCAGUCUUCCAUCGUGAUGUCAAGUCUUCAAAUAUACUCCUGGAUGCAAACUACACUGCAAAAGUUUCUGACUUUGGUGCAUCAAGAUUGGUGCAUAUAGAUCAAACUCAUAUUACCACACACGUACAAGGCACAUUCGGGUACUUGGAUCCGGAGUAUUUUCGCACUGGGCAGCUAAAUGAGAAGAGCGACGUGUACAGCUUUGUGUCCAGCUUUUGGAGUUGCUUCUUAGAAGGAAGCCUGUUUUUACCAAUGAGUCAGGAUCAUCUCAGAGUUUAUCUAGUUACUUUCUUGGGGAGAUGCAGGCAAGACCAAUAAGUGAGAUAGUCGCUGCUCAAGUUCGUGACGAAGCAACCGAGGAAGAAAUUAUCAGUGUUGCCUCCCUUGCAGAUAUGUGUCUACGGAUCCAGGGCGAGGAAAGACCUACGAUGAAGGAAGUAGAGAUGACUUUGCAGCUUCUGCAUACGAAACGUUCGAUGUCAUCUCAUGUCACUCCAGAAAAUGGACGAGCUGAACAUAGUGUCCCGUCUCACUCAGGCAAUGGAGUCGAUCCAACCUCUGCAGACAGUCAACGAUGUUAUAGCUUGGAGCAAGAGUUCUUAUCAUCUGCUAGCUUACCACGCUAA
rnacentral:rRNA from 1 species